rnacentral:rRNA from 1 species
CCUUACACAUGCAAGUCGAACGGCAGCACGGGAGCUUGCUCCUGGUGGCGAGUGGCGAACGGGUGAGUAAUAUAUCGGAACGUGCCCUAGAGUGGGGGAUAACUAGUCGAAAGAUUAGCUAAUACCGCAUACGAUCUACGGAUGAAAGUGGGGGAUCGCAAGACCUCAUGCUCGUGGAGCGGCCGAUAUCUGAUUAGCUAGUUGGUGAGGUAAAGGCUCACCAAGGCAUCGAUCAGUAGCUGGUCUGAGAGGACGACCAGCCACACUGGGACUGAGACACGGCCCAGACUCCUACGGGAGGCAGCAGUGGGGAAUUUUGGACAAUGGGGGCAACCCUGAUCCAGCAAUGCCGCGUGAGUGAAGAAGGCCUUCGGGUUGUAAAGCUCUUUUGUCAGGGAAGAAACGGUGAGGGCUAAUAUCCUUUGCUAAUGACGGUACCUGAAGAAUAAGCACCGGCUAACUACGUGCCAGCAGCCGCGGUAAUACGUAGGGUGCAAGCGUUAAUCGGAAUUACUGGGCGUAAAGCGUGCGCAGGCGGUUAUGCAAGACAGAUGUGAAAUCCCCGGGCUCAACCUGGGAAUUGCAUUUGUGACUGUAUGGCUAGAGUGUGUCAGAGGGGGGUAGAAUUCCACGUGUAGCAGUGAAAUGCGUAGAUAUGUGGAGGAAUACCGAUGGCGAAGGCAGCCCCCUGGGAUAACA